rnacentral:tRNA from 1 species
UCUGUAGCUCAGUAGGUAGAGCAGAGGACUGAAAAUCCUCGUGUCGUUGGUUCGAUUCCGACCGGA